rnacentral:rRNA from 1 species
CCUACGGGUGGCAGCAGUGAGGAAUAUUGGUCAAUGGGCGCGAGCCUGAACCAGCCAAGUCGCGUGAAGGAUGACUGCCCUACGGGUUGUAAACUUCUUUUAUAAAGGAAUAAAGUGAGGCACGGGUGCCUUUUUGUAUGUACUUUAUGAAUAAUGAUCGGCUAACUCCGUGCCAGCAGCCGCGGUAAUCCGGAGGAUUCGAGCGUUAUCCGGAUUUAUUGGGUUUAAAGGGAGCGUAGAUGGGUUGUUAAGUCAGGUGUGAAAGGUUGCGGCUCAACCGUAAAAGUGCAAUUGAUACUGGCAGCCUUGAGUACAGGAGAGGUAGGCGGAAUUCGCGGUGUAGCGGUGAAAUGCUUAGAUAUCACGAAGAACUCCGAUUGCGAAGGCAGCCUACUGAACUGCCACUGACGCUGAGGCACGAAAGUGUGGGUAUCGAACAGGAUUAGAUACCCGAGUAGUC